AUAUUAUAAUUUAGUACUGUAAAGAAAAAUAAAUUAAAUAUUUAUUUGUACCUUUUGCAUAAUGGUUUAAUAAUAGUAUUAAAAGAUUUUUUUUCCCGAAAUUAGAAGAUUUAACUUUGUUAAAAUUUUAGGUAGUUAUAUAAUAUAAUGUUUCAAAAUUAUAAAUAUAAACAAAGUUAGGGGUGAAAGGCUUAUCAAUUCUAUAGAUAUCUGGAAUAAUUUUAAAUGUAUUUAGUACAGUAUAAUGGUUUGAAUAAAAAAAUCUUAAGAUUUUUUUAUUUUUAGAAUAGUACUUCUUAUAAUUUUGUGAAUUAACCUUCUUAUAAUUAAAUUUAUUAAUAAUUUUAAAGUAGAAUAAUCUAAAUUAUAAAAUUAUUAAAAUAUAAAUUUUUUAAUAUAUAAACUAUGUUAAAAUUAGUAUAAUACUAUUUGUUUUUUAAAGGAACUCGGCAAAUUUAUUAUUCAUCUGUUUAUCAAA
rnacentral:rRNA from 1 species